GACGAACGCUGGCGGCGUGCCUAACACAUGCAAGUCGAACGGGAUCCAUGAGAGCUUGCUCUCGGAAGAUCUAGUGGCGAACGGGUGAGUAACACGUGAGAAACCUGCCCUGGAGUGGGGAAUAACUCGGGGAAACCCGAGCUAAUACCGCAUACCCUUGGAUGAUCGCAUGGUUGACCAAGGAAGAUUUAUCGCUCUAGGAGGGUCUCGCGGCCUAUCAGCUAGUUGGUGGGGGUAAUGGCCUACCAAGGCAACGACGGGUAGCUGGUUUGAGAGAACGAUCAGCCACACUGGGACUGAGACACGGCCCAGACUCCUACGGGAGGCAGCAGUGGGGAAUCUUGCGCAAUGGGCGAAAGCCUGACGCAGCAACGCCGCGUGCGGGA
rnacentral:rRNA from 1 species